rnacentral:rRNA from 1 species
AUUAAUACCGCAUACGACCUACGGGAGAAAGGGGGCAGUUUACUGCUCUCGCUAUUAGAUGAGCCUAAGUCGGAUUAGCUAGAUGGUGGGGUAAAGGCCUACCAUGGCGACGAUCUGUAGCUGGUCUGAGAGGAUGAUCAGCCACACCGGGACUGAGACACGGCCCGGACUCCUACGGGAGGCAGCAGUGGGGAAUAUUGGACAAUGGGGGAAACCCUGAUCCAGCCAUGCCGCGUGUGUGAAGAAGGCCUUUUGGUUGUAAAGCACUUUAAGCAGUGAAGAAGACUCUUCGGUUAAUACCCGGAGACGAUGACAUUAGCUGCAGAAUAAGCACCGGCUAACUCUGUGCCAGCAGCCGCGGUAAUACAGAGGGUGCAAGCGUUAAUCGGAAUUACUGGGCGUAAAGCGAGCGUAGGUGGCUUGAUAAGUCAGAUGUGAAAUCCCCGGGCUUAACCUGGGAACUGCAUCUGAAACUGUUAGGCUAGAGUAGGUGAGAGGGAAGUAGAAUUUCAGGUGUAGCGGUGAAAUGCGUAGAGAUCUGAAGGAAUACCGAUGGCGAAGGCAGCUUCCUGGCAUCAUACUGACACUGAGGCUCGAAAGCGUGGGUAGC